rnacentral:rRNA from 1 species
UGGUGGAGUGAUUUGUCUGGUUAGUUCCGUUAACGAACGAGACCUUAGCCUACUAAAUAGUUGCUGCAAUCAUGAUUGUUGCAACUUCUUAGAGGGACUUUGUAAGCAAAUACAAGGAAGUUUGAGGCAAUAACA